GACGAACGCUGGCGGCGUGCUUAACACAUGCAAGUCGAACGGAAAGGCCCUGCUUGUGUGGGGUGCUCGAGUGGCGAACGGGUGAGUAACACGUGAGUAACCUGCCCUUGACUUUGGGAUAACUUCAGGAAACGGGGGCUAAUACCGGAUAGGAGCUCCUGCUGCAGGGUGGGGGGUGGAAAGUUUCGGCGGUUGGGGAUGGACGCGCGGCUUAUCAGCUUGUUGGUGGGGUAGUGGCUUACCAAGGCUUUGACGGGUAGCCGGCCUGAGAGGGUGACCGGCCACAUUGGGACUGAGAUACGGCCCAGACUCCUACGGGAGGCAGCAGUGGGGAAUAUUGCCCAAUGGGCGGAAGCCUGAUGCAGCAACGCCGCGUGCGGGAUGCCGGCCUUCGGGUUGUAAACCGCUUUCGCCUGUGACGAAGCGUGAGUGACGGUAAUGGGUAAAGAAGCACCGGCUAACUACGUG
rnacentral:rRNA from 1 species